GUGAUGCCGAGCGCUGAGGCUGCAGUGAGCUCUGCAGCAGGUCUGAGGGGCGACCAGGUCCCGUUGAGGGCUGAAGUUAAAGUCUCAUAGAGAUCACUGAUCAAAAAACAAUAAAGUAAGUUACAUUUUAGGUUAUGUCAUGUUACCUGGAUGGUGCGCCCUGCUGGACAGUCCACCCAGUCAGAGCCAGGCAUCUGGAUCUGGUACCGGUUCAGUCCAGUACACCUGUGUCUGUAACAGCGUCCCUCCACAGAGCUGCUGGAUAAAAGAAACUCACUCUGGUUCUAAAAGGAAGUCAGGUGGAGGAGGAAGAAGAUAGGAAACAGUUAGGAAAACACAGACUAGACUGUGUGCCCGGCUCAGGUCGACAGUGUACCAGCCUGUAUCCUGUAAUGCAGCCAAGGUGACCGAGUCGAUCCGGACUGUGGUCGAGUCCCCCAGCACCGCCGCCAUGAUGGAGCCCUGCAGGACCCGGG